rnacentral:rRNA from 1 species
CUACGGGAGGCAGCAGUAGGGAAUUUUCGGCAACGGGCGCAAGCCUGACCGAGCAACGCCGCGUGAGUGAUUAAGGCCUUCGGGUUGUAAAGCUCUGUUGUAAAGGAAGAACGAUCAGUAUAGGAAAUGAUACUGAUGCGACGGUACUUUACCAGAAAGCCACGGCUAACUACGUGCCAGCAGCCGCGGUAAUACGUAGGUGGCAAGCGUUAUCCGGAAUUAUUGGGCGUAAAGGGAGCGUAGGCGGUUUAUUAAGUCUAUGGUGAAAGUGCGGGGCUCAACCCCGUAUGGCCAUAGAAACUGAUAGACUAGAGUGCAGAAGAGGGUAGUGGAAUUCCAUGUGUAGCGGUAAAAUGCGUAGAUAUAUGGAGGAACACCGGUGGCGAAGGCGGCUACCUGGUCUGUUACUGACGCUGAGGCUCGAAAGCGUGGGGAGCAAAUAGGAUUAGAUACCCUGGUAGUC